GAAGGAAUUUAAGAAGGAUUGGUAUCUGUUCUUUAAAUGUUUGGUAUGAUACAGCAGUAAAGCCAUCAGAUCCUAGGCUUUUCUUUGAUGGAAUACUUUUU